UCCAAAGUGGCUCAGAAGGUAAAGCAUCUGCCUUCAAGGCAGAAGACCCAGGUUUGAUACCUGGGUCAGGAA
rfam:Ovis aries breed Texel chromosome 2, whole genome shotgun sequence.